rnacentral:rRNA from 1 species
GAUGAACGCUGGCGGCGUGCCUAAUACAUGCAAGUCGAACGCAUAGCGAAAGGUGCUUGCACCUUUCAAGUGAGUGGCGAACGGGUGAGUAACACGUGGACAACCUGCCUCAAGGCUGGGGAUAACAUUUGGCAACAGAUGCUAAUACCGAAUAAAACUUAGUGUCGCAUGACACAAAGUUAAAUGGCGCUUCGGCGUCACCUAUAGAUGGAUCCGCGGUGCAUUAGUUAGUUGGUGGGGUAAAGGCCUACCAAGACAAUGAUGCAUAGCCGAGUUGAGAGACUGAUCGGCCACAUUGGAACUGGGACACGGACAAAACUCCUACGGGAGGCCGCAGUAGGGAAUCUUACACAAUGGGCGAAAGCAUGAUGGAGCAACGGCGCGUGUGUGAUGAAGGCGUUCGGGUCGUAAAGCACUGUUGUAUGGGAAGAACAGCUAGAAUAGGAAAUGAUGUGAGUUUGACGGUACCAUACCAGAAAGGGACGGCUAAAUACGUG